rnacentral:rRNA from 1 species
GAACAACGCUGGCGGCGUGCCUAAUGCAUGCAAGUCGGACGGGAACCACUUCGGUGGUCGACCGUGGCGGACGGGUGAGGAACACGUGGAGAACCUGCCCCUAGGCGGGGGAUAACGCCGGGAAACCGGUGGUAAGACCCCAUGGACUUGAUUGGUGUUAGGCUGAUCAAGCAAAACCCGCAAGGGUGCGUAGGGAGGGCUCUGCGACCUAUCAGCUAGUUGGUGGGGUAGCGGCCUACCAAGGCGAUGACGGGUAGCUGGUCUGAGAGGACGAUCAGCCACACGGGGACUGAGACACGGCCCCGACUCCUACGGGAGGCAGCAGCAAGGAAUUUUCCGCAAUGGCGCAAGCCUGACGGAGCGACGCCGCGUGGA